rnacentral:lncRNA from 1 species
CACUUGAAAUUUGGAUGAUCUUUCCAUCUUGGAUUGUAUGUAUUAGAGAAAAUAUCACUCAUUGGUUGGUAUUGGCUCCCAAAGCCCACGGCAUUGGUAGAUUCCCACACUACAUUCUCGAUCAAUUGAGGGCACUUAUCCGUGAGAUGUCCUUGCAUUGAGCACACGCCACAAGCAGCUACACUUUGUACCUUUGGUCCUUCAACCACCUGUGAAAGAAGAGUAGUAAGAUUAGCCAAUUGAUUUUGAAGUUCGGAAAUAGCACUUACCUCAUUCACUUGUUGUCGUGGGGUGGCUCUUUGCCCAACAACUUCAUAUUGUUAUGCAUUC